CUUCAAGGGAGUUUUACUGGACAGGUAAGCAGCAUGAGGAUUAUGUGCAUUCAGCUACAGUAUUAAGCUGCUACAUGUAGAAGAUCUUAUUCCUGUAGUAGUUUUUAUUUUUUAAAUAUUUCUCAUUUAACAUUUUUUCUUGUGUUUGAAAAUUCAGGGAGGAGUAGUCAUGGCCAAUAAACCAGAAGGAAAAAAUAAGGGUGAACAAAGAAAAUUAAGUGAUGAGUUGAGCUCCCUCUGGAUCCAUCACAUUCUCACAAGCAUUUCUCUGAAUAUGGUGAUUCUUCCAGAUGAAGAGAAAAAGGAGAAAAAAAAAGAAAGGAAAAAAAAAAGAAACGGAAAGGAAAGUUAAAAUAAGUCUGUUUUUUGUUGUUGUUCUUGGUGUUUUGUUUUUUUUUUUCUGGCAGGUAAAAAGAAAUAGAUUUUCAGUUUUCUGUUGAAAUGUCAUUGUCAGAUAAAGAUUACAGUUCAUAUAGAAAAAGGGAGAGUUGAGAUGACUGUGUUAAUCCUGAUAAUCAGAAUCAAUUUUAAAGUCAUCUCCAAAUCCAUACACACAAGCCAUGAAUACCAGUUAAAUCUGAUUCUCGGCCUCAGGUCCACGCA
rnacentral:lncRNA from 1 species